rnacentral:rRNA from 1 species
UCAUGGAAGCUGGUAACACCUGAAGCCGGUGGACCAACUGCUCGCAAGAGUGGAGGUAGCUGUCGAGGGUGGGAUUAGUGACUGGGACG